rnacentral:rRNA from 1 species
GAUGAACGCUAGCGGGAGGCCUAAUACAUGCAAGUCGAACGGUAACAGGUAGCAAUACGCUGACGAGUGGCGCACGGGUGAGUAACACGUACACAACCUGCCUAUGACUGGGGCAUAACUUCGGGAAACUGAAGCUAAUUCCCCAUAACACUGCAGAAAGGCAUCUUUCAGCAGUUAAAGCCCCGGCGGUCAUAGAUGGGUGUGCGUUUGAUUAGCUAGUUGGUAAGGUAACGGCUUACCAAGGCUACGAUCAAUAACUGGUCUGAGAGGAUGAUCAGUCACACGGGCACUGAGACACGGGCCCGACUCCUACGGGAGGCAGCAGUAGGGAAUAUUGGACAAUGGAGGCAACUCUGAUCCAGCCAUCCCGCGUGAAGGAUUAAGGCCCUAUGGGUUGUAAACUUCUUUUCUCUGGGAAUAAAAACCGGGAUUUAUCCUGGCUUGAAGGUACCAGGGGAAUAAGCACCGGCUAACUCCGUGCCAGCAGCCGCCGUAACAC